AAAUUGAAGAGUUUGAUCAUGGCUCAGAUUGAACGCUGGCGGCAGGCCUAACACAUGCAAGUCGAACGGUAACAGAAAUCAGCUUGCUGAUUUGCUGACGAGUGGCGGACGGGUGAGUAAUGUCUGGGAAACUGCCUGAUGGAGGGGGAUAACUACUGGAAACGGUAGCUAAUACCGCAUAAUGUCGCAAGACCAAAGAGGGGGACCUUCGGGCCUCUUGCCAUCGGAUGUGCCCAGAUGGGAUUAGCUAGUAGGUGGGGUAACGGCUCACCUAGGCGACGAUCCCUAGCUGGUCUGAGAGGAUGACCAGCCACACUGGAACUGAGACACGGUCCAGACUCCUACGGGAGGCAGCAGUGGGGAAUAUUGCACAAUGGGCG
rnacentral:rRNA from 1 species